CUUUGUUAAAAACGCCAAGAACCUGGACAACUUGCAGUCACGACCCUCUACCGGUGACAAUAUUAUUUAAUUAUUGGUAGUGGCUUAGGGUAGCAAACAUCCCUUUGUGGAAAGUUUACUCAGUAAAUCCUUAAAAAACAGAUCAGAAACAAAAACUGGCCUCCCAGGGAUUUGGACUCAGGAGCUGAAUUAGGCGCGGAGAGGGCGGAGCCUUAGGAGUUUAUGGGCGGAGUUGCACUGGUUUGGCGGGCACCUCUGCUUCUGCUUGGCACUACUCGGCUCCUUGAGGCUCCCUGAGGCUCCCUGGAACGUGAGGCUCCGUGAGGCUCCCUGGGCUUCCACUCGGCUCUGUUCGGCUCCUGCUCCGGAAGGGUGCGCGGGGGCGAGUCCUGCGCAUGCGCCCUCAACUCCUGCUGCUCUCAGGGCUGCGCUCAGCCUCGUGUUUUCACUUCCUUCUACUCAGAGCCGUAUCCGGGUCGCUGCUUUCCCUAUUGUCUGAGGCAGCCGGCCUCGAGCUGUGCAAUUUCUGGGUUUUUUGUUGCUUGUGGUCCAGGCUAAUAAAGUUUUUCUUUCUUUCUUUCUUUUUUUUUCUGGUUUUAACGGGAGAAAUUAACUCCCUAGGGCCGCCGGGUUGGCUGCGCUGCCUGGGCCGGAGGUCUUCUCCGGCCAGGGAGCGCUGUGGGAAGGGGCUCGAGCGGCCAGGGCCAGUGGAUCGCAGCUCCAAGAGGAGGCAGGUGAAGCCUUUGGCAGCUUCUCUGCUGGAAGCUCUUGAUUAUGAUAGUUCAGAUGACAGUGAUUUUAAAGUUGGAGAUGCCUCAGAUUCUGAAGGGAGUGGUAAUGGAAGUGAAGAUGCUUCAAAGGACAGUGGAGAAGGUUCCUGUAGUGAUUCUGAAGAAAAUAUUUUAGAAGAAGAACUGAAUGAAGAUAUUAAAGUAAAAGAAGAACAGCUUAAAAAUUCUGCAGAGGAAGUACUAUCAGCAGAAAAACAAUUAAUUAAAAUGGAAAAGAAGGAGGAAGAAGAAAAUGGAGAAAGACCUAGAAAAAAAAAGGAGAAAGAGAAGGAAAAAGAAAAGGAAAAAGAGAAAGAGAAGGAAAGAGAGAAGGAAAAAGAAAAAGCAACAGUAUCUGAGAAUGUGGCUGCUUCUGCUGCUGCCACCACACCAGCCACAAGUCCUCCGGCUGUUAACACAUCCCCUUCUGUUCCCACUGGGACAACUGCUGCAGAGGAACAAGUCAGCGAGCCAAAAAAAUGGAACCUUCGACGAAACCGACCGCUUCUGGAUUUUGUGUCCAUGGAAGAGCUGAAUGACAUGGAUGACUAUGACAGUGAGGAUGACAAUGAUUGGCGACCUACUGUAGUAAAGAGAAAAGGGAGAUCUGCAUCUCAGAAAGAGGGAAGUGAUGGAGACAAUGAGGAUGAUGAAGAUGAGGGAAGCGGGAGUGAUGAAGACGAGAAUGAUGAAGGCAAUGAUGAAGAUCAUAGUAGCCCUGCCAGUGAAGGGGGUUGCAAGAAGAAGAAGAGUAAAGUUCUUAGCAGAAACAGUGCUGAUGAUGAGGAACUGACCAAUGAUAGCCUGACCCUAUCUCAAAGCAAGAGUAAUGAGGACUCGCUGAUUCUUGAGAAGAGUCAAAACUGGAGCUCUCAAAAAAUGGACCAUAUUCUGAUUUGCUGUGUUUGUCUGGGAGAUAAUAGUGAGGAUGCUGAUGAAAUAAUUCAGUGUGACAAUUGUGGCAUUACGGUCCAUGAAGGUUGUUACGGAGUUGAUGGAGAAAGUGACUCUAUUAUGAGUUCAGCUUCUGAAAACUCCACUGAACCUUGGUUUUGUGAUGCCUGUAAAUGUGGUGUUUCUCCUAGCUGUGAACUGUGCCCUAAUCAGGAUGGAAUUUUCAAGGAGACAGAUGCUGGAAGAUGGGUUCAUAUUGUUUGUGCCCUGUAUGUUCCUGGAGUAGCGUUUGGAGAUAUUGACAAAUUACGACCAGUAACACUAACGGAAAUGAACUAUUCCAAAUAUGGUGCCAAGGAGUGUAGCUUUUGUGAAGACCCUCGCUUUGCUAGAACUGGAGUUUGCAUCAGCUGUGAUGCAGGGAUGUGCAGAGCCUAUUUCCAUGUGACCUGUGCUCAGAAGGAAGGUCUGCUUUCAGAGGCAGCAGCGGAAGAGGAUAUAGCAGAUCCAUUCUUUGCUUAUUGUAAGCAACAUGCAGAUAGAUUAGACAGAAAGUGGAAGAGAAAAAACUACUUGGCUCUACAGUCCUAUUGUAAAAUGUCUUUGCAAGAGAGAGAGAAGCAACUAUCACCAGAAGCACAGGCAAGGAUCAAUGCCCGGCUUCAGCAGUAUCGUGCCAAAGCAGAACUCGCUCGAUCUACCAGACCCCAGGCCUGGGUUCCAAGGGAAAAAUUGCCCAGACCACUCACCAGCAGUGCUUCAGCUAUUCGUAAACUUAUGCGGAAAGCAGAACUCAUGGGGAUCAGUACAGAUAUCUUUCCAGUGGACAAUUCAGAUACUAGUUCUAGUGUGGAUGGAAGGAGAAAGCAUAAGCAACCAGCUCUCACUGCAGAUUUUGUGAAUUAUUAUUUUGAGAGAAAUAUGCGCAUGAUUCAAAUUCAGGAAAAUAUGGCUGAACAAAAGAAUAUAAAAGAUAAAUUAGAGAAUGAACAAGAAAAGCUUCAUGUAGAAUAUAAUAAGCUAUGUGAAUCUUUAGAAGAACUACAAAACCUGAAUGGAAAACUUCGAAGUGAAGGACAAGGAAUAUGGGCUUUACUAGGCAGAAUCACAGGGCAGAAGUUGAAUAUACCAGCAAUUUUGCGAGCACCCAAGGAGAGAAAACCAAGUAAAAAAGAAGGAGGCACACAAAAGACAUCUACUCUUCCUGCAGUACUUUAUAGUUGUGGAAUUUGUAAGAAGAACCAUGAUCAGCAUCUUCUUUUAUUGUGUGAUACCUGUAAACUACAUUACCACCUUGGAUGUCUGGAUCCUCCUCUUACAAGGAUGCCAAGAAAGACCAAAAACAGUUAUUGGCAGUGCUCAGAAUGUGACCAGGCAGGGAGCAGUGACAUGGAAGCAGACAUGGCCAUGGAAACCCUACCAGAUGGAACCAAACGAUCAAGGAGGCAGAUUAAGGAACCAGUGAAAUUUGUUCCACAGGAUGUGCCACCUGAACCCAAGAAGAUUCCAAUAAGAAAUACGAGAACCAGAGGACGAAAACGGAGCUUCGUUCCUGAGGAAGAAAAACAUGAGGAAAGAGUUCCUAGAGAGAGAAGACAAAGACAGUCUGUGUUGCAAAAGAAGCCCAAGGCUGAAGAUUUAAGAACUGAAUGUGCAACUUGCAAGGGAACUGGAGACAAUGAAAAUCUUGUCAGAUACCCUUCAUGAGACCCAACUCUGCCACAGCUCAUCCUCGGAGGCAAUCCCGGAAACCUCUUUUAUAAGUGUGAUUUUAAAAAUGUGGAUUAAACUCUCGAUAGAGUACAUAAAGUAAAGAACAGCUAUAUUGUCCUUUCUAUAAGCUUGUCACUGCAAAAAGUUGCCUUUUGCUUGUCAGGUUUGGAUAGAAUAUAAUUGAUUGGUUUGUUACUUGGACUAAAAAGGCAGUAGAUUUGCCUGUGUGAAUUUUUUUUUCCUAUUUUUCUUCUUUUUGCUUUUUUUUGCACUAAUCAGAAAUAUUUGAUAUGUGCAUUGUUGAAAAAUACUGGAUACAUGUCUUGUCAGAAUUGUCGUAUUAAGUAAUGUCUUUCCCUCUUGCUUCUUUGGCAAAUGAUGAUACACAGUGUUUGGACUUACUGAAGAGUUACUGAAGCCUAUGGGACUUAAUAAAUACAGUAUGCUACUCCCUGUUGUUAUUCAACAAUACAAGUAACAAACAAGAAAGACAAUGCAUUCCAUUAGUCUGCUAUUCUGUUUCCUUCAGCUUGAUACAUAGAUUCAUAUAAAGUACUGCAUUUUAAAACAACUAUAGACUCAUAUUAAAUGUUAUUUCUAUUUAUAAUAGUCAGCAAAAGUGAAAGACUUAUGAAGCAUAUGACAUUCUAUUUUUGACUUAUUAGUCCUAGUGUGAAAGCAUAUUAGCAUGACAUUUUUACCACUUCAGAUUUUAAGCUCAUGAAUAAAAAUAUAUCUGUGUUGAUCUCUAGAUAUUUUUAGUAAUACCCAAAUAUAUGCAGUCCUUAUUGUUUUAAUAUAAACUUUCUGUGUUCAGUAUAAUUUUAUUUUUCUCAACCUUAAAUAUGAACUUAGGAAAUAAGGAGGGAAAUACAAAGAUUAUUGACUAUACAACCUACCAGCUGAAAGAAAGAUCUUCAUCAACAUCUGUAUCUUUCCAGAGGUAUACAGAAUUAAAAUUUGAUCUUCAAGCUUUAAUGAUCCAGUUUUAAGUCAACGGCAGAAAUAUGUUGAAUAUUUCAUCACUCAAUCUUGAACUGAUUUAGAAGAGACUCUUUGCUGAAAUUGAAUUGCACAUAUACAUGUAAAUUGUCAACAUGUAAUUUGGAAUUUUCUGAUUAAUAAAUGUGGUUUUGGACAUCUUUUCGGGUAUAGUGACAAUGGAAAAUAGUUUACACUUUAGGACUAGAGUACGUAAUGUUAUAGAUAAUCAAAAGCAAUUGUAAUUGUAAAGCUGCUGUAAUCUAGUAAUCUCUGGUUAUAGUGAGGAAUCCUAUGAUUGGAUGAGAUGUUUGAUAAAAGUAAAAUGUGUACGAAAUUACAUAUAAACAGAUUAUUAACUUAUUGAAAGAUCUCAUCAUAUUGGAGGAAAAAUAUUCAUAAUCUUUAGCAAAAUUAGUAGACUUUUGUUUAACAGAAUAAGAUAGGACUAGUUAUCACUAUAUUAGCUUAAGGAAAUGUUAGUAAUUACUACUGUUACUGAAGUCUGGCUGCCUUUAAGCAAAAUGACAGAUUGCCAUUUUCUAAGUGGAAUAUACUAAUACAUUAGACCAUGGCCCUCUUUUAAUAUUUAGUGAGAAAUUACUCACAGUUGCUUUAUUUUAGUUGUUUUUGAGAAACUCUUAGGCCUUGUUUUGAUAUCACUGUUAAUCAAAAUCCUUUUCACUUUGAUUCCAAUUAGAAUACUAUAUUAUCAUCAUUCUCCAUCUUGCAUUUUCCGUGAUGGUGGAUAUUCUAUUCCACAUUUGGUGCUAGUCCUAAGACUCUUUGUCACAUGUUAUACAUACAGACUGCAAAAUUCAUAAGAUAUAGGUCCUGCAAAAAGUAUAGUUGAAGUAAGAAAACUUUUGAAGUAACUAGAAUACUUUGUGCUAAUAAUCUCUUAAAUGCUCUCAUAUCCACAGUGUGAAAUUAUUCCCUGUCCAUAAUCAGUUCAACUGCUAUAAGGAGAAAAUUGAUGUGUACUUAAGAAAAUAUGUACUAAAUGAUUCAUAUUUCACAGACGUACACAAGAAAAAUGGCACAUCAGGUAAAUGAUGGUUGUUUAUCACACAGUAGGGAAAGGAAGAAACAUUAAAAUAUCAGGAAGGAGAUGAAACGUCUCUGAAAUACAAGAAGAAUGAUGUAAUAGUAGAUAGUGGUUCUCAAACUUUGUGCAUCAGAAUCACAGGAAGGAUUUGUAAAAACACAGGUGACUACCCUAUUCCUCUCCUCAUCCUCCCUCUACCCACUUUACUCCCUCCCCUCUUCACCCUGUAGUUUCUGAUUUAGUAGAGAAUUCGCAUUUCUAACAAGUUCCCGGGUGAUGCUGUUGCUACUGGCCUGGAAUACCACAUUAAGAACCAUUCAUAGGUAGUAUUUUUUUAAAAAAUCAUUGUGUUGUGCUCAACAUUGUUUGAUAAAGGAGUGCGCUUUUUAAAUCUCCUUAAAAGAGCCCUUAGAUUUCCUCUAGAUAAUAGAAUUAGUAAUUUCGUCUGCAACAUACACAAUUUUUUUUUUAUUUUACAAAAUUUAGUUAAAUGUUUGUUUUACACUGACUAUGGAAACAGCACUAUUAUAGAUACAGAAAGAAAUCAAUAAACAUAGCCUGUGUUCACAAUUCACUCAUCCCUUUGUUAUAAAAAGACUUGAAAUUAGAGUUAUGUUUUAAUAUGAAAACAAAAUUUAGCCUUAGCCUUUAUCCAUCUUAACUUUAGAAAUUAUAUUUAUGCACUGUUUGUAGAUCAUUGUCAUUCAUUGUUGCUUGAGUGUUCAUCUGAUUUUAUAUUUAUGAUAUUAAAAACAGACUGCUGACCAAUAAAUAAAAUAUUUACACUCUAUUUCCCUGCAUUUACAUCCUAUUAAUGAAAACCACUGUUUUUAAACAAAGUUAAUUAUUUCAUAAAACUCACCGCUAUUUUACUUGAUUCUCAAUAUGGGAAUAUUUCAUGAAUAUUUCACCAGAAUUUAUUCAAGGAAUUCAGAAGGACUCUCCAGCAGGCCUGAAUAUUCACAUUAUUAAAUUUUUUAAAAAAUUAAAAAAUGACAAUUGAAACUUGUUUAAGAGACUCAACUUGGAGUUUCGUGACAUAUGAAGGCAGCAUCAUUUUUUCUACCUGUCUGAAUCAGCACUUUGUAAGUUUACAUAAAAUUAAGGAUUGUGAUUUCUAAGGUAGACAUGCUUUGCAAAUAUUUCUUUAUAAAAGUGGAAGCCUCUUUGCCAUAGUGCUCACUCUAAGGCUUUCUGUAGGCCUGCCGGUAAGAUUCACUGCUGUUCAGGUACAUAAGAUGUAAUGAAAUUGGAUGUGCAUGCUGGGCUUUGUAAAUAAAAUGAGAUUGACCCCCAGCAAUUAUCUCAUUUAUCUGAUUUACAUUGUAAAAUCAGGAUCUACACUAUUGAUUAGAGCAUAAUUAGUUAAUUAUGAACAGGAAAAUACAAAGUUACAUGGAGCUUGAGCACAGCAGGUUGUACUGCUGAAAAAUUUCCAAGGGCAUGAGCAGAUGGAAAUCAGUUUAUUAAAGAACAAAGCAGACGUGUUUCAGGUAUGGAAAUGUCUAAUUCUUCUGUCAUGCUGCGAAGAGUUGCUUGACCUUAUUGUGCAUUUUUAUAUGAAUUGUUUUGUCUCAUCUUUCAUUUUUUUGUUUCACAUUUAAUCUUGUAAUCAGGCUGCUGCAGGUAUAGCUAUCUAAAUUGAUCUCACUAUUUAAGUGACUAUUAAAUACAGAUUUGGAUUUGGAUACUUUUCUAAUUUUUUAAAAUUAAUUUUUAUGUGUACUUUUAUGUGUAAAGAAUAUUUUUGUCUUUCUUACUACCCAUUCAUUCAUUAUUGGCUGAUACAGAAGUCUGUAGUGGUAUUAAUGAAAUAGGUUCAAGUCCUCCACAUUAGUCUUAUAUUUGUGAAACGAUUAGAAAACAUUUUCAAACUAUUUUGUAUAGAAACUGCUCAUGUAGGUAAUUGCACUAAAAUUGUUGUAAAUUACAAGGAAUAAAAUAUUGUACUUAUUAAUACUAAAUGUUACUCAAUAUUGGUAGAAUGUAGAAUUUUGUGCAAGCUUGUAUUAUUUGUAAAGUGAUUUAACUUGUUGACCACAAUUUGUAUUUUCUCCGUUAAGAUGUUUAAUUGAAACAAUUGGCCACUAUUCAAUGAAAUAACUCAUCACUACAUGUUAAUAGAUUUGCGUAGAUGUUUGAGCUGCUUUUAUUUAAGUAAUGACAGUAUUGAAGACUAAUUUUUUUGAACAUUCUUGUGUGGAAUUUUUACACAGAAAUGAAAAAGUUGGAAAAUCCAACCCAUCAGUUCUCUGGAUAUUUAGUUUUUUUUUAAGUGGACAGACAUAAUAGUCUAUAUUUUCAGAGUCCAGUUUUUAUUUUGUUUUAUAUAAAAUUAUAGGGGCUAUAAGUAGAAUGUUCCAUUGGCAUAAAAGAUAACGUGAUUAUCAUGAAAUUUGCAUGAUAAUUAAUUAAAAUAAAAUUAAAAUACAAAAUUUAAUCAUGAAAAUGUACACCCUUGUUCAAGUCUAUGUUAAUGGAUUUUGCUUCUUUCUAAAGUUCAGCCUACAAAUGGCUAUAAAUUAUUUGCAUAGGACGUGCACUUAAUUGUUUCAGUUAGGUUUUAAAAAGUAGUUUUAGUUUACUCCUCUAAUGAAAUUAUCCAUUAGAAAUUAGAGAUGUUAAAAAAAAAACCCUUUGGAACACUGACUUUUGGCCUCUUAGGCAUCCGACGAAAUAAAUCAGCUGCUUCUUUUUACUUGUCUGCAUAUUUUCAGUAGUCAGGUAAACACCUGACCAAUUGCUUGUUAUAUGGAUCAUAGCACAUAUGAAGGUAAAUCAUUUUUUUCCCCUCUUCUUUGUUUAGGGUGCUAUUCUUAAUCAUAUACUAAGUAAGUAUUUUACAUACAUAUAGACUUAUGUUUAUUUGGUCACUGUAUUUUGUUAAUGUGUAAAAGACCAUAUAUUAAGCUACUUUGUUAUUUACAUCUAUAUCUGUUAUUAAUCUGAUAUCUAGGAAGUUGUAUUUAGUAAGAAUCUAAUUAGGUUUGCUUUUGUCUUAUAAUUGGGAUUCCUUUAUGCUCUAUAGUGUUAAUGUGUACAGUGUUUUUAGAGGCUUAAAUGAUACUUCUUUAUGCAUCCAGUUUUAAUUUUAUUAAAAAAUCUUAGUGUUUCUUUACAGGUUAGUUUUAUAUUCUUUUUUAAUAUUUUAAGACAUUGCCUUCCUAUUUAAUAAUGUGCUAUUGGUAUAAUAAUCUGUUUUUAUUACAUAGACAUUUGUGUUAUUUAAUAAAGUAUAUUGUGUUAUAUCCCUAUACUUUUGUGGGUCAAUGACUGCUUUUGCAAAAGUUUUCUAAAACAUUUUAUUCACUAUUUAUUUUGAUAAAUUAUGUCCUAUAUUAUGUGCUGCAUGUGUUUCCAAGUUUAUGUAAGAAAUAAAGGUAGAAACCAUAAAUAAGUCAAUAACUACUUUAACUCCAUUGCAGCUUUUAGAUAGCAGAUGAUUAUAGACCCUUACGAGUUUUUGAUUUUCAAGUUUUUUAAAUGGUCUAAAUUUGCAACAUAGCCAGAGUUUGUUGGGUGACAGGAGUUGAUAAAGAUUACAAAGUGGUAUUUGUGCGUAAAAUUAAUAAGCCACUAUUUUGGCCAUCCACAUUGUGCUUUGAUUUCUUGAGUUCGUAAUGAUGUCUCUCAUAUUUGUCUAUGGUUUAGUAAUUCUUGCAAGUUCUGCUAGAGUUCACUUGUGUCCAUCAGGAUAUUUCAGUGAUUAGCACAUAAAACUAUGGAUUUUUUCGAUUUCAGUAUUCUAAGAUAGAAACAACCAGAUUUUUUUCACAUUGAAAUAAUUUGAGACAUCUUUACAAAGAUCUUAUAUUUAUAUAUUUAUCACCAAAACUAUUGACUUUAAGAUUGGAUUCUUUUCUUCCCCCUCUCUUUUUUGGAUUUUGGCAGUUCCUAAGGGUCCUAACUACUACUUUUUGCUACUUGGUCUUGAAGCUGCAGCUUUUAUUUACUGUUGAAUGAGCUAGAACUUUAGAGAACUUCCCAAUCACCACUAAUUCUGACAAGCAAAUUCUUUUCCUUUGGAAUGCAUCACAAAUACAUGAGUUCCACAUGUCAACUAAGUAAUUCUGAAAGCUAUCGCUAAUGAAGGAAUCAAUCAGUAAGGAUUAGGUCAUUUUUAAAUGGCAUAUAUUUGUUAUCUUCUGAUAAACUAGCAUAUAAAAUCUCCUCGUCUUUUCAUUGGUUCUUGAGCUGAAAGAUAACUUGAUUGUACGAGUAGUUGAAAUCAUCAACAGAUUGGAACUGUAUCAGUGUAGCAAACUUGUUCUUGGUUUAUUAGCUGGAAUUUCAUAGCUAUAUCAACAAGAAUUAUUUAUGUACAUUAAGGUGAUAAAUAAUGAAUUGUGAUACACAGUAAUCAUGAUAGUUGCCUCAAGUUAUACACUAGAAAUCAUAAUUUGAAAAUUAUUAUGACACAGAGUUAUAAAUAUGCAGUAAUUAGGUAGUAAAUUGAUGUAAACUAGGAAAAUGUUAAUACUUCAUCAAGAACUUUGAUUAUUAGCAAUCUGAACUGUAUGGCACACUACCCAAAAACCUGAAGUUAAGGAAAAAAGACUAUAGUUGACAAACAAAAUUGAGCCCAUUUACUUAACUCAGUAGAAAUUCUCAUUUUCGUGUGUUUUUACUGUCAGUUUACAUUGCCUCAAUAAGUUUUAGUGGUCUGGUUUCUGAAUCCAUAACAAUUGUUGUUGGGGAAUUUAUGUUUAAGCAAACACACUGACAAUAUCAGGAAGCAGUGGCUGAUAGUUUUCAGGCAAAUGAGGACCCUGAAAAUCUAUAAAAAUUGAAUACAAGAAUUCAAAUAGAACAGUCGACUACUGGUCCUCAUUCCAAGGACAAAAGGCUGACACACUGUUAGACAUGUAGCAGGAUAUAUUAUUCUUAUUGAUGACCUGAGAUGACAAAUAUAAAUUAUAUUUAAUAUGUUUAUUUGAUGAAACAAGAAAUGUGAUUAUUUUUAAAUUUCACAUCAAAGAUCAUUAAAACUCUAAUUUUUAUGUAUGGAGUAUGCUCUCAGUUAUUUAGAAAUCUCAACCUUCUCAUAAACUCAGAAAUACUUACACUUUGAAGGUUUCUAUAUCCAUAGGUUUAAUCGAAAUUUUGUCUAAUGAAAGGUAAAUAUGUUGUAUUGAGAAAGAGCAUAAAAUUAUGUGGGCUUGCCAGUUAGUCUCUUUAUGUCACAUUUGAAGUUAGUUUAUAUUAUUUGUUAUUAUUUCUUAAUGCCAGAACAACAGGUAUUUGAACAUUUUAACUGCUUUUAAAUAUAUUUUUAGAUAUGUGAUAUUGUCAUAGUAAGUAAAGUACUCUUGGUCCUAUUGGUGCUAUUUGAUUUUAUCUAUUCCUGUAACUAGAAGUAUCAUAGUAAGCAUUUUUCAAAAUCUUGAGUCUACAAGGUUUUUGGAAAAGUACGUAAGCUUAUUUUUUUCAUAAGGAAAAAGUUGUAGAGGAAGAAAUGCAUAAACUUAGGGCAUUCAAUUGUAUUUUAAACUUCUUUAUAUCUGAGUAACUUAAUUAAGUUGCUUAACUUUUCUGCAACUCUUGAUUCCCCAAAUGAGUUUUUGGAAGAUUGGGUUUUUGUAGCAUAAUAUGAAAUUUCUACUAAAAAUGUAGAUUUACACUCCCUUUUGUUAUGAUAGUUUCUUAAAGUCAAUUGUUUUUCUUUGUGUGUUGUUUAUGUAAGAAGAGCUUCUUCCCCCUUUUUUCCUAAAAGGUUAUUGAAUAGUAGUUUUUAACUUUAUUCGAGUAAUAUAUGUUCUAUAAAUCUUCCCCUUGGUUUGUUUCUUAAUUGUAAAUUUCUUGACAUUUGAAGUUUUAAAUCAGUGAAAGAUAAACAAUAAAGAAAAUCUGACAGAUUGGUUGAGAAAGUAUUAUUGUUUAAUUUUUUUUAAACUACUAUGAAAUGAGGAAUGCAAUCCUUUCUAUAAGAUGUAUACUCUUUGUUAUUUGUUGUUAAAUUUUGGUCUUGUUAUUCCAACUGAUGCAAAAUUCUUUUUACAAAGCACUGAAAUAAUACAGAUUUUUCUUCAUUGUCAGCAGGAUGAGAUUGUCUGAAACGAAGAAUAGGUGUGAUGAAUGCAGACUCUGCUACCAUUUUGGCUGUUUGGAUCCUCCUUUGAAAAAGUCUCCUAAACAAACAGGUUAUGGAUGGAUAUGUCAGGAAUGUGAUUCGUCAUCUUCCAAGGAAGAUGAAAAUGAAGCUGAAAGAAAAAAUAUAUCUCAGGAACUCAACGUGGAACAGAAAAAUCCAAAGAAAUAAAAGAUUUUCUGUAGUGUUUUUGAAAAGUUUGCAGCUUAUGUAAUAACAGAUAAAAUUUCUAAUUGUAAAAUGUUAAAUUGUAAAAUCUAAUUUGCAAAACGUUCUCAAUAAAGUCAUUCAAAAUGAAA